rnacentral:rRNA from 1 species
UACGUAGGGGGCAAGCGUUGUCCGGAAUCAUUGGGCGUAAAGAGCGUGUAGGCGGCUCGGUAAGUCCGCUGUGAAAGUCCAGGGCUCAACCCUGGAAUGCCGGUGGAAACUGUCGAGCUAGAGUCCGGAAGAGGCGAGUGGAAUUCCUGGUGUAGCGGUGAAAUGCACAGAUAUCAGGAGGAACACCAAUGGCGAAGGCAGCUCGCUGGGACGGUACUGACGCUGAGACGCGAAAGCGUGGGGAGCAAACAGG